UACGGGGGGGGCAAGCGUUGUUCGGAAUUACUGGGCGUAAAGGGCUCGUAGGUGGCCACCUAAGUCAGACGUGAAAUCCCUCGGCUUAACCGGGGAACUGCGUCUGAUACUGGAUGGCUUGAGUUCGGGAGAGGGAUGCGGAAUUCCAGGUGUAGCGGUGAAAUGCGUAGAUAUCUGGAGGAACACCGGUGGCGAAGGCGGCAUCCUGGACCGACACUGACGCUGAUGAGCGAAAGCCAGGGGAGCAAACGGG
rnacentral:rRNA from 1 species